CCCUUAGAUGAUUUGGGCUGCACGCGCGCUACACUGACCCUAACAAUGAGCAACUGUCUGGCCUGAGAUGGCUGGGUAGCCUUUUCAACCCAUGUCAUGAUUGGGCUAGAUUUUUGUAAGUCUUGAUCUCUAACGAGGAAUCCCUAGUAUGCGUGAAUCAUCAAUCCAUGCAGAUUAUGUCCCUGCCCUUUGUACACACCGCCCGUCGCACCUACCGAUUGGAUGGUCCGGUGAAGCCUCGGGAUUGUGGUUCUUGCCGCUUUAUUGUGGCGUGACCGCGAGAACUUGUCUAAACCUUAUCAUCUAGAGGAAGGUGAAGUCGUAACA
rnacentral:rRNA from 1 species